rnacentral:rRNA from 1 species
AACGAACGCUGGCGGCAGGCUUAACACAUGCAAGUCGAGCGAGACCUUCGGGUCUAGCGGCGGACGGGUGAGUAACGCGUGGGAACGUGCCCUUCUCUACGGAAUAGCCCCGGGAAACUGGGAGUAAUACCGUAUACGCCCUUUGGGGGAAAGAUUUAUCGGAGAAGGAUCGGCCCGCGUUGGAUUAGGUAGUUGGUGAGGUAACGGCUCACCAAGCCGACGAUCCAUAGCUGGUUUGAGAGGAUGAUCAGCCACACUGGGACUGAGACACGGCCCAG